GUGUCAGCCGCCGCGGUAAUACGGAGGAGGCAAGCGUUAUCCGGAAUUAUUGGGCGUAAAGCGUCCGUAGGUGGUUUAGAAAGUCUGCUGUCAAAGGCUGGGGCUUAACUCCAGACAGGCAGUGGAAACUACUAGACUAGAGUGCGGUAGGGGCAGAGGGAAUUCCCAGUGUAGCGGUGAAAUGCGUAGAUAUUGGGAAGAACACCGGUGGCGAAAGCGCUCUGCUGGACCUGUACUGACACUGAGGGACGAAAGCUAGGGGAGCGAAAGGGAUUAGAUACCCCAGUAGUCC
rnacentral:rRNA from 1 species